ensembl:lncRNA
CUGUUUACUGUUAAAAAUGCAACUUAGAUUUCUUUCUGUUUUAAAACAAAAAUUCCACCAUCUAACUGGUGCCCUUCCUCCUAAAGCUCGGCUAUGGUCUGUGUUCGUUGCCUCUGUUCCUGCCACUGGGUACCACUGACAGGAUGUGCUCCUUCCUCUUUGCACAAAUACUCGAGAAAACUACAGCUGGAGCCUGAGUCAGCUUUCAUAGGCACAAGUUCUCCUUUGACAGAAUGUGACUUCUUCAUGUUUACUAAGUGUAUUAAGUUGAAAGGUCCUGAAUGUAUAUUACUUCCUGAAGCAUAGCCUGCCUUGCUAAACUAGCACUCAGUAUCUCUCACAACUCACUUUGAUACCCGUCAGCACUGGCAGUUUCUAAUUGUAGCUUUCUAAUUUCUUCUGCAUAAAAUUUAAAACUUGCCUUCCAACACAGAUUUUUUUCUUCUGAAACGUGUACUGUCCAAGAGCUCACAGUGAUUUCUACAGCUUUGUGUUAUGCUGCCAUAACUGGGUUGACACAGUGCCUUCAUGCAGUUGUGAUCCCUGGUAAAGUUUCGUUCUCACUCUUUUCAUCCAAAUUGUUUAUUUUUGGGAAUUUCCUGCUCAAGUGAUCAAGAGCUUUGAUAUUCUCAAAAUAGCAUUGUUUUUUUUCCCCCCACUUGUUUAAACUGCACAUGGUAAUGGGAAGAGAGCAUGGCCAGAGCUAGGAAAAAUAUUUUUAGCAAAAUGAAAUUAGUUGAAGAGUUGUUCUGUAAUUUUUUAGGGAGAGUGUUUUGUCUUCCAUCCUUUCCUUGGGGCAGGAUCAGGGCCAGCAUCUAUUGCAAAUGCAGCCACUUCACAGAGCAUCAUGGUUGGGCACCUGCUUCCUUUCAUCCCAGAAAAGAAGUUCCAGCUUUGAUCCUGAAGAGACUCAUGUUGGUUCAGCUAUGGGAAUACGGGUCUGUGUUUGCUUUAUGGAAGGGUGUUUGUUUUAAUGUUCCCUUUCAAAGUCAGGAAAACAAAUCCAAAUGAAAGAGCAGAGAAAGAGGCUUGCUUGGAUUAUUGUGCGUGCAUUUGUGUGACUGCACUUAGCAUUCUGCUGCUUUUACUCUUUGCUGUUAAAUUCAUGUGAUGACCUUUAGAUGUUGAAUAUUUCUAUAUUCUGCUUUUGCUCAGGUAUUCACUUAGUCUGCACAGGUUGUGGGGGGGUGUUGGUUCCAAGGUUCUGCCCUGCUUGCCAUGCAGGAAGGAGGAGGAGGCUCUGAAAAAGAUAGUGCUUCAUUAUGAAUGGUGGAUUGGGAAGAAAGCUUUGGCACCAAGCAAAGUAUUUUUAAUAUCAGGUGCAGUACAAGGAUGAUUUUUCUAACUUUCUCAGUUUCUGGGGACACAGAUAUCUUGAUCCUUUAUUUCUCUCUGUAUUUGCUGUUGAUAAUUAUACACAGUUUAUAUCAGCAUACGUCUUGCUCUCAAUGUAUCCAAGAAAAUCAAAAAGCUGCUUAUAUAGUCAAGUAAGUAUGCAUAUAUUUGUGAAAAUGAGGUUUAAAUUAUCACCUUAAGAUUUUUAUUGUGUGUUUAAAAGAAAUUUACUGUAGAAUUAUUUAUGAUUAACCCAGUUAUGCUGGAUUGGGCUAUGACUGCCUCUAUAUACCUGCGAAGCUGCUCUGCCGUUCCUCUACUUGCGCAUCAGUAUGAGUCCCCUAGAUGGCAGGAGAGGAUCGGUAUAACCACGCCAAACCGUUGCUAGUUCGGUGCGUUUCAGUGUGGGCAUGAAGGAUUUUGACGGUUCCUUGUCAGAACGGAGUUGUUGUGUAACAGCUCAGUCGUGGGAACCGUGCUUAGCUACAGAGGAGAGGAAAGUUGAAUCACUUCAGUUGCGAAGCUUUCCGUGAGUUCUGAAGGGUUUUGAAUCUCAGUUCUGUGGCUUAAAGCCAUUUUCUCUCAUCUACUGUUUAAAAACACUGCAUUCUUGACAUUUUCUUGUGCCUCCAUCUGAGAAUGAAGACAUUCAAAAAGCAAAUGAGUCUCAAGGUGGUACUUCAUUUUUAUAAUAACAUCUGCCUGCUGUCCCUGACUUGCUCUAUUUUUCGGAACUUUGAUAUUUGUUCCUCUUUGGCUCUACGAAGUUGCACAAUUACUGCUCAGAAAUUGCAAGGCAGAUGGUAGUGGUCGACAGUGCUUUGCAUCUGUAACAUUUGAACCUUCAGUUCUACUUCCGAAAUUAUGGAGACACUUUGCUGUAUGUAGCCAGAAUGAAGAGUAUAGUUUCCUGUAGGCUUAAUCCAUGUGAAAGCUAAAAUGAAGUGAUAAGGCAAUUUUGUUGGUGUUAUUAGUGGUGAGUAGAGUAACAGUGGUCCCCAUGUGCAGUACCACCAACAGUGUUUCAUUGUCCAUUUCAUCUCUUUUGUAGCGAAUGCAAUGCACACCUGUGAAGUGGUGGUACUCCUUGCUAUUCUGCACUACUGGUGCUAAGUGAUUCAGUAUCUAUCAGUAUUUUCAAUGUUCAAAUUAGAGAACUAAGGAAUGUGGAAUGUUACCAGAUGUUGCAUGGUUCAUGAAUAUGAGUGAAGCAUCUGAGACACAUUUGUGCCUGCAGUGAAUUUCCUCUGAAAUUCACGUGGGGUGAGAUGAGAAGCUAGAACAAAGAUUGAAGCAUAGUGUUGAAGUACUCCUUCUUGUUGAGGGAAAGUUGGAAUGGAACAAGGAAGCACAACAUGGUGGCACAUUGUGCUAUCAGUUCUCCAGUAGUUUUGUAGUUUGGAAAGCUCUAUGCGUUUGUUUUAGACUUGAUAAAUCAGAAUAAAAUUUUUGUCCUUAACGAAACAGCAUGCCAGCAUCUACCAGUGUGUCUUAUGAUGACUUUGAAGACCAUAGAAUUUAUAUGAGGGUUGGUUGCCAGUAUAAAUUCUUGACAUAUAUUCAGUCAUGAGGCAGCAAAAUAAGGUUCUUCACCUACGCUGCUUGUAUAAAGUAAAUCUGAAAUGGAAGAAAAAUGCUUUCUUUAGCCAGCACUUCAGAUGCAGAAGGGAACUUCCCCCUGACUAAACUAGAGAAGACAAUGCACUGCAUCCUGCCAUCUAGCAUUCCUCUUCUUGGCACCUAGAGCUGCCUUUUCUCUGACUGUUGAUUAAUGAAUUUGAGCUAAUCUCCAAGCAAUUGUUCUGAGCUCAUUUGCAGUUCACAAGUUACUGUUUCUAUUUUAGGCCUGAAGAAAAAAUUAAACAAAACCAUGUCAGUUUGUUCCAAAAAUGUGUAUUUUUCUAAUUACACUUUUGGAGAGACACAAGAUACACAUGUGAAUGUAUCGAUUUGGUGUGCAUGUGUGAUGUCAGUAGCCUCAUGUGCUAGUUACCUGCCAAAUACUUACACUGUUAAGCAAUACCAAAUGAGUUUCAAGAUGAAUGUGAUGCUGUGUGGGCUGAUGAAGAUGGAAGAAAGCAGAGAGUGGAUGCAGUUAUCCAGUGAAGACCAAUGUUGCAAAUAAAUUGCAAUGUUAAUUAGGAUAAAAUAGUAAAAUUACUCUUCUCCUGUCCCUGUUAUACUUUUCCUCCAUAAUUUUGUAGAGGCUGUGUCAUCAUAUUUAAUCACAUAACUUUAUUCAAUUCCCAGCUAUGCUGCACGUGGACAGAAUUUAAAAUCAUUUCCUGUAAAAUACUUUGCAAUAUGCACAAGAAGAAAAAAAGUCUUAUGUAAAUGCAAAUGGAAAGGUACAGUUUUCCCUUUUAUGUUUCAUGAUCUCAUAUUUUUAUGUAAUGUAAUUUUUGUAAUGUAUUUUUAUGUAAUUACUUCUAUACAGGUCAUUACUAUUGGUAAGAGUACUGCCUAGUACUUGGUGCUUGCAUUUGUGUCCACCAAGAAAAAGAAUCUCAGGAUACAACUUUCAAAAACGGUGUUGCUAAAACUGAUAGUUACUUCAGGGAAAAUUUGGUACUUAACACUGGUAAAAAAAACUGACAAAAAAAUAUAACUGUUUUCUGUACAAACAGAACUCAAAGUUCUGGUUUGGGGCCUCCUUUUUUGAUUGCGUUCUCUGAGAAAUGUUCUCACUGAAUCAUUUGCUUGCUUGCCUGUUUUUCCCCUCAGCUAUUCCCACAGCAGCUCUUUACAAUUUGCAGGCAGCAAAACUUAAGCAAAAGGUUCGUCCCUUUGGCCAGAUUCAAAAAGGGAACUGCUGUCAGAUCUUGUGCUUGGACGUUCUGUGUCCUAAUAUUUUUGUUGUGAAAAGUUUCUUUGGCCAAACUUUACAAUCUGACAACGAAAAAUCUUCAACCACAACUGCUUUCCCCAUCAAACGGCUACUAUUGAACUGUGCUCCUUUCCAAGAUGAAUACGGACUCAAAAUAUUUUCCUUUUGCUUUUUUUCAGUGAAUUGCAAGACUGCAGCAACUUAAUAGAAUCAAUUUUUGCCUUAGUAGAAAAUGUAAUAUACUUCUGCUCUAGGAAAAAAAAAAAAAGGGAAGUAAUUACUGCAGAAUUAAAUCCCGUGCUUUUGUGAGAAUAAACACACUGUAUAAAGUGUCUGGGGACUUGGAGUAGGGUAUGCAUCCAGCAGUGCUCCUUCUUUAUAGGGCUGUCUAAUUAGGAGGUAAUUAACAGAAUAUUAGACUGUUUGCAGUUCCAUACACUUAUUCUCUGUAAGUGUUAUGGAAAGUUUCUUUUGCUUCCUAUGAAUCUUUUUGCUUUGCUUUCUAGUUGCAAUGAAAAUUAGCUCUUAUUUUGACAUCAGUGGUGUGUAUCUGGAUAAACAAUUAAAUUCAGUACCUUCUAAAUUCAGCUGCUGGUCUGAUUGUGUCUUCUGUGCAGUCAAGAGUGCGCAGUUAAUAUUUCAUAAAUACUUCAAAAAGUAAAACAAGGAAACUAUAAAUAAGUUUAAAAAAAAAAAAAAAGGGAAGUACUCUAAUUCUAAGGUCAGGCUGUUUUUGUCUUAUGAAUCUCUGUCUACCUUCUGCUGUGUCACUGAUUUAGAAACUUAUUGGGAGUAGAAGGAACUUGUGGGUUUUUUUUUCUAUUGUGCUGAACAUGUAAUAGAUGAGGGACCCAUUGGCUUAACAUUCCAAUCUUUUUCUUUUUGGUUGUUGUUCUAUUGACUUAUCAACUCUUUGUUGUUUUUACGCACCAAUUCUGUAGCAUUCCUGGGAAGCUGUACUGGUGACAUAGUGGCAAACCCUGGCAUACUGCCCUGCCUUGUUUUCCCUUUGCCUGAAUUUCUGGCUUAAAGUAAAGACCCACAGACUCUCCCCACAAAUUGUGGGUGUGGAUUUAGGUUAACUGUUGUCCAAUACACAUAUGAUAUGACAAGUGAAAGUUACCAUUGCACCUCUAAAUCUACUGUAAAGAUGUGUGUACUAAUGAAUUCAGCAUUGUGCGAAAUUGACUUACAAGUUUCAUAAAUAAUAGAUUACUUUGAAAUACAGAUGUCAGUUGACUUUGUUUUUAAAGCCAGUAAUAUUAUCAGAGGGAAUUUUAAUACUACUAAAAUUAUGCUGAAAAGCCAUUGGUACUUUGGGCAAAAUAGGUCCAUAUUAGGCAAGUAAAUCUAUUUUGUUUUAGAUGAACAGAGCAAUAAAAUCCCUGAAGCAGAUUUUACUUGAAGGUAAUUGACUGCAUCUAUGAGUUAAAUGUUCCAAGGAAAAGAGAAGACUACUUCCAGCUGACAAGGUCAAUUAUCCCAUUGCUGUGUCCUUUCUUGGUGGUAUCUGUAUUCUGAUCACAUCUGAAAUUGUUAAAUAAAACUUCUGAGAGCAGAAUAAAGUUUAUUUUUAAAUAAAA